rnacentral:rRNA from 1 species
AGAACGAACGCUGGCGGCAUGCCUAACACAUGCAAGUCGAACGUGAUCCAGGCUUCGGCCUGGUGAAAGUGGCAGACGGGUGAGUAACGCGUGGGAACCUGCCCUGUGGUAGGGAAUAACCGUGGGAAACUGCGGCUAAUACCCUAUGAGUCCUUCGGGAGAAAGAUUUAUCGCCAUAGGAGGGGCCCGCGUCGGAUUAGGUAGUUGGUGGGGUAACGGCCUACCAAGCCUUCGAUCCGUAGCUGGUCUGAGAGGAUGAUCAGCCACACUGGGACUGAGAUACGGCCCAGACUCCUACGGGAGGCAGCAGUGGGGAAUAUUGGACAAUGGGGGCAACCCUGAUCCAGCAAUGCCGCGUGGAUGAUGAAGGCCUUCGGGUUGUAAAGUCCGUUUCGGCGGGGAAGAGUGAUGACGGUACCCGCAGAGAAGCCCGGCUAACUUCGCGCCAGCAGCCGC